UACGUAGGGUCCGAGCGUUGUUCGGAAUUACUGGGCGUAAAGCGCACGUAGGCGGCUUUGCAAGUUAGAGGUGAAAGCCCGGGGCUCAACCCCGGAAUUGCCUUUAAAACUGCAUCGCUAGAAUUGUGGAGAGGUAAGUGGAAUUCCGAGUGUAGAGGUGAAAUUCGUAGAUAUUCGGAAGAACACCAGUGGCGAAGGCGACUUACUGGACACAUAUUGACGCUGAGGUGCGAAAGCGUGGGGAGCAAACAGG
rnacentral:rRNA from 1 species